rnacentral:lncRNA from 10 species
UUCCAUUUGAGCAACAUCUGAAUGAAUAGGAUUUCCCUAUUCAUGCAGCACAGGCCAGCACUAGGAUAAGGGGUAGUAGAUUGAGUUGAAUCUAUCUCUGGGAACAUAUCCCAAAGAAACAAUCCAAGAUGUAGGUGAAUAAUUAUGCAUAAAAACUUUCACUAUACCAGUAUUUACAUUAGCAAGGUGUUUAGAAAAGAUUAGAAAAUGGGAUUUCCAUAGUUAUUCAUUCAUUUAAAAAGUAUUUACUGAAUGCUUACUCUGUACCAAGUAUUUUAGUCAUGGAGGAUACAUCAGUGAACAGAAAUAGCUUAUGUUUUUGUGGGUAAAGACAGGUACUAAAGAAAUCAACUAGUAAGUACUUUGUAUGCUGUUACGGGUUGAAUGGGUCCUCCAAAAAUGAUGUGUUAAAGUCCAACCCCCAGGAUCUCAGAAUGUAAACUUAUUUGGAAAUAAGAUCAUUGCAGAUGUAAAUAGUUACAUUAAAUUGGUCAUAAUAGAGUAGAAUAGGCUUUUACUUCAAUAUGGCUGGUGUUCUUAUAAGAAGAGAGAGACACAGGGGGAAGAUGGCCAUGUGAAGAUGGAGGCAGAGACUGGAGUGAUACAUCCACAAGCUAUGGAAUGCCAAGGUUUGCCAGCCAUUUAUAAGAAGCUAGGAGACAGGCGUGGAACACAUUCUCCCUCUGAACCCUCAGAAGGAACCAACACUGCCGACAUUUUGAUUCCGGACUUCUGACCUCCAGAACAAGAACCCAGACUAGCCCCAGCACUCCAGGCAAUCACCACCAAACAAUGAGAGUUGGCACAGGAUACAAGACUUCUGUCCUUCUAUGACAUGGAUUUCUUCAGCAUCCAGGUGUGCAGGGUUUCUGAGCCAGGAGCAGUUGAGGAGUGGGAAGAACAUCUGGAAAGACUGGGAGUAAGGACGCCCCAUCUGAUGGAAGAAAGGAAACACAUGCCCACCCAUUUUUGCACCUGGGUCUUUCAUUUGCCUUUACACUGGACUCUUGCAAGCCCUAAGCAGGACAUUGCAUCAAGCUAAUGGGCUUGUGUUGAGGUCUCUUUCAACUCACCCCAAGCCUUGGGAGAGUCAUAUUUCUGACAACUAAAUUCAUGAAGUCUUCCUAAGCCUCUUUUAAAUCAUGAUUCUCCCUUUGAAACAAUAGGCACACACAUUAAAGUCCAAAUAGUCAUUAACCUUUAUCACCAUUCACUAGGAGGUCAGAACAGAAGAGCACCAUGUAGGAAUGGACAGCCUUGUGGGUGUCGUGGAUGCAUGGUCCCAUCUGGAACCCUGGGGCACAGAUAUCAUGAGCAGAGGAGGCAGCAGGGCCAGGGGUGGAUGCGAAUUCUGCCUCUACCACUUCUAACCAGUACACCCUGGGCAGUGUACUUGACUGCUUUGUUCUUCAGUCUCCUCCUCUGUGAGGUUGAGAUAAUGGUAGCAACUAAUUUAGGAGAUUAUUGUGAGAAUUAAAUGAGAUUGUCUAUGUCAUAAUAGGUAUGCAAUAAGUGCCUAAUAUAUGUUGAUUUUUUACUCUGUUUUCUAGAGAAGACAGAUGUAGAAUUUAGUCUUCAUGAUGGGUGGCUUCUGAAGAUGUCAAAAGGGACAAUGCCUCAGAGGCUGGCAGCCCCCUGACAUGGUGAAAUAGGCAGCCGUGUGGUCAGGCCAGGGCACAAGAUUCACACACUCCCUCUCUCCCUCAGUAAUGCUCAGGUUGUCUACAGGAAACAUCCUAUAGUCCUACAUAUCUUGUUCCCCACGUUGAACAAAGUGAGGAGAAAGACAUAAAAGGAUUUCUCUGCUCUUGCUCAGUUUUCAUCUCAUGAAAGAAUAAGACUUGCCUCAAAUUUCAUGAGUGUACAGUCGAGUUCUUACCUGGCAGAACUAAUCUUCUGGGGGAACAAUAAUAGGUCAUGUUAAUUAAGUACUCAUUCUCCUAAGUAUAUUUUUUAUUAUCUCAUUUUUUUCUCAUAGCAACCCUCUAAAGAGGGUCUAUUGUCAUCCCCAUCUUACAGAGGAAACUGAGCACAGAAUGGUAACUUGCCCAAGGUCAUCAUUUAGCCAGAACUUAAACCCAUUGGGUCAAACUCCAGCACCCACUAUACAAAGCUGUCUCAUCUCAACCAGCCCUCUCUCCUUCUGACUCACUUCGGUAUUUCAUUUUUUAAUUGACAUUUGCUAAGAAGGUCAAAUGGAUGACGAAGGAUGUUGUUGAGCACUCAUUUUAGCAAAGUUGUAUCUAGCACUUAAUCAUGUGACCAAUUGCUGUACUAAGACUAGGGGAUAAAGGGAGGGGAGGACAUGCAGUCCAUGUCCCUAAUGAACAUUCCAUCUCCUUGAUUGGCGGGGGAGAGAGAGAAAGAGAGAGAGAGGCCACAUGAAAGAAAAAUAACAAUGUAAGAAAGGGAGAGAGGAAGAGAGAGGAAGCAGAGAUCUGGGAGAGUACAGAGGAGUGAUGCGGUGAUUCAACCCCACAAGGAAGCCACCCUUGGAUUCUGAGACUAUGCAUUCUUAAACAAGAGGAAAAUAUUCCAGAGGAGUUUGUAACUCAGGCCAUGAAAGUGUUUCUCAGAAGCGGCAGUUCUAAUUAGAACUGCAUCUAAAGGAAAUAUCUCUUCAUUGGUAGGGACAUCUUGCCUCACUAAAUAGACUCUGAUUGGGGAUGAGAAAAGGCAGCAUAUUAAACUCUUCAAAUCAAAGAGAACAAUGAAAUGCCAAAAAGUUUCCUCCUAGAAGCUGAAUUUGCUUUCAUCUUGUCCCAUUAAGAUAUGGAGAUUGUUGCAAAAUCUUUGAGUUGCCACAGGAAGAAUACUAACUAUUUUGGGUAUUGCUGGAUGCCUGCCCAUCAUCCACUUCACCUCUCCCCUGACCAUUAGGAAUCAGCCAUGUCAGUGAGGUAAAAAUGACCCUACUCCCCGCUGCAGUGGCCUAAGGCACUCAAUGUAAUCUUAUCCUCAUUAAGACUGUGAUUGAUUCAGGAAUACACAAGGAAUACAUGCUGCAGCCAACCCUUGCACGGCGUCCCCCAGUUCCCAUGACUGCUCAAGACAGGGGCACAGGAUCUUACUUGGCCCCAUGGCCAAGAAUGAAGCCCACAAGUUUUGUUGGACAGUAGAGAGGAGAGAAAUGUUCUUCCUUUGGACCUUCUUUUGGCUCUUCUUUUGGACCUGUGUGUGCAGACAUUGGACCCAGAACUGUUGCAGGCAUUUUGCUAUCAAUAAGGGAAGCCUGAGGACAAAGCCUACACACUAGGAGGAUGAAGCCAGGACUGUUACAGAGAAACAGAGCAGGAAUCCUGAUUAAACUGUGCGUGAACACUGACACAGCCAGUUUGAGUUCAGUUCUGCUUUGUUUGCAACCAAGAGCAUCCUAACUGAUCCACCAACUCUAAUAGUUAAGUACAGUGUUCUUAGCUUUGUGGGAUCGUAGCCCUUUGAAAAUCUGAUAUAGACCAGGAUCCCGCUUCCCAGAAAAACACAUGUACAAAAGGUCACAUAAAAUCUAGGGGUGACAGGGGCAUGGACUCCAGAUUGAGUCUCCAGCAGACUGGUUAGGCACUUAGGCUUUGAGGUAGGAUAGAUCUGGGUUCAAAUCCUAGCUCAGCUACCACCAGCUUCUUGUCACUUUAUGUAACUCUUCUGAACCUCAUUUUAUUAUGCCAUAAAAUGAGAAUAAUAAUAUCUACUUCACAGGGGUGUAAAAUGUAAACAAAAUCAUGAAUGUCUAGAGAUUAGCACAGUACCUAUCUCACAGUCACAACCCACAGCCUAUGGCAUCAGGCAAUUAAGAAUAGUCCUUAAAGGGCCAGGCGCGAUGGCUCACACCUGUAAUCCCAGCACUUUGGGAGGCCAAGCCAGGCGGAUCACGAGGUCAGGAGUUCAAGACCAGCCUCACCAACAUGGUAAAACCCCAUCUCUACUAAAAAUACAAAAAUUAGCCAGGCGUGAUGGUGGGCGCCUGUAAUCCCAGCUACUCAGGAGGCUGAGACAGGAGAAUGGCUUGAACCUGGGAGGCGGAGGUUGCAGUGAUCCGAGAUCAUGCCAUUGCACUACAGCCUGGGCCACAGAGCAAGACUCCGUCUCAAAAAAAAAAAAAAAAAAAAGAAUAGUCCUUAAGCCCUUAAGAUAGAUGUCCAUGUCAAGUGUUAGAAUAUGCACAGAACUGAAGCCAUCAUUGAUCUGAAUAUGUAAAGCAGUUGAUCAGGAAUUGGUCCUAGAUUUGGGGAAAACUUGUCACGAGGACAGGAAUUUGGGCAAGACAUAGCUUCUUAAUCUGAAAAGUGCCUAGCUAGUUCUCAAGACUAUAAUGGAGUCAGAUGAGAGAAAAAGGAUUUGAUCCACUUGGGGCAGAAUAGGGAAGGUUUUGUUAACUGUAAAGUUUUAAAAGGCAGAGUAAAGGAGAAUAAAAAAGACUUAUGGUUGCACAUCUGCAGACUUUCACAAUCAUAAGACCAAAAACUAGUAAUUUCCCAUCCCAGCCCCGGAGAAAUGACUCACUGGGCUGUCCUUCAUAGGCCCAAAUCCCAAAGUUUCUUAUAAAAAGGUGAAAUUUUGGACUCCAUGGGCAAUGGCCACCCUGCCCAAUAUCCCUGCCUGCUGUUCAACUCAUGUCCUGCCCGCCCACCUCCAGCACCUGCAAGUCCUACUCCACCCAGAGGAUGUCCUGGCUGCUCAUAUUUCAACGAAAUCGUAAGGCUCUUCGAGUAUUCCUCCUUGAUUUAUGACUUGGAAAUGUCAGCAGGAAUGGAAAAUCCAGGACAUGGCCAGGAAGAACACAGUCCAGGGACGUUUUAGAGCUGAUACAGCCCAUCUGCUUGGUCCUUCACUGUAGUUCUCUAUUUCUACCUUCUACUACCUUAUUUUUCUUUCUGCAUCAAAACAUUCCUUUUUUUUUUUCCACUCCAUUUUUCUAAGUAGGCCAGUCACAAGUAAGCAUCUUUUUGAAGGCUAAUGCAAUCCCAUCACUGUGUUCUCUACACUUAACUCAGUAUGAGGAUGCCAAAGUAAGUCCCAAUGAAACAGCACAGUGAAUUGACCCCUCCCUACCACCAAGUGGACAGCAAGAUUGGACUGGAAGUGUGUCCCAUCCCAACCUAUUAUCCUGGUUAAAUUUGUUUCUUCCUAUGAAUCUUCUCCUUCAAAACACUCUCAGCAUUCUAGAGGGAGGAGAUCACAAAUAAACAAAAGGUAAAGAACUGUUCUGACUUCCCACAUCACAGCCAGUGAUGACUCAGCAACCAAGUUCUGCUCCCUUCUAGAAACAACAUAGACAAAGAAAGCAAAAGGAAAGAAAUGCUGACAGAGACCCACAAAGGCCGCUGUGAUUUGGUAAAGCACCAAGCCUGCCAGCACGUCCUAUGGAAAGUGAGGGCAGACACAACCACAGUUGGCAGGGAGAACAGCCAAGCCGCAGCACAGCUAAUGACAGUCACCACUCUGGAGAAAUGCUUCAAAGGGCAGCUGCAGAGGUGGCAGCCAGCUCACUGAGGAAAACGGUCUUGAUCAGGCUGGAGUGCAGUGACAUAAUCACAGCUCACUGCAUCCUCAGACUCCUGGGCUCAAGCAAUCCUCCCAUCUCAGUCUUCCAAGUAAUUAGGACUAGAAGUGUGUAUUAGUCUGUUCUCAAGCUGCUGAUGAAGACAUACCCUAGACUGGGCAAUUUGCAAAAGAAAGAGGUUUAAUGGACUCACAGUUCCACGUGACUGCGGAUGCCUCACCAUGGCAGCAGACGAGAGGAGAAUGAGAGCCAAGUGAAAGGGGUUUCCCCUUAUAAAACCACCAGAUCUCAGGAGUCUUAUUCACUACCACGACAACAGUAUGGGGGAAACUGCCACCCCCAUGAUUCAAUUAUCUCCCACCGGGUCCCUCCCACAAUAUGAGGGAAUUAUGGGAGCUACAAUUUAUGAGAUUUAUGAGAUUUGGGUGGGGACACAGCCAAACCAUAUCAGUGUGCCACCACACUCAGCUAAUUUAUUAUUUUUAGAAACAUGGUCUCACUAUGUUGCCCAGGCUGGUCUGCACUCCAGGGUUCCAGUGAUCCUCCCAUCUUGGCCUCCCAAAGCACUAGGAUUACAGGCAUGAGCCAUCACACCCAGCCAAGAAAACAUUAUCUUCUAGAUAUGCACACUGAAGUAUUUGAUAUAAAAUGUAUGAUAUUUGGGAUUGCUUCAUAAUAUUUUAGCAAAAAUAAAAUAAGUGAAAUACAGCAAGCUGCU